rnacentral:rRNA from 1 species
AGAGUUUGAUCAUGGCUCAGGAUGAACGCUAGCGGCAGGCUUAACACAUGCAAGUCGAGGGGUAACAUGGGUAGCAAUACCUGAUGACGACCGACAAACGGGUGCGGAACACGUACGCAACCUACCCUUACCCGGGGCAUAGCCCGAAGAAAUUCGGAUUAACUCCCCAUAACAUGCUUAGAAGGCAUCUUCUUGGGUAUUAAAAAUUUAUUGGGUAAGGAUGGGCGUGCGUCCCAUUAGCUAGUUGGUAGGGUAACGGCCUACCAAGGCGACGAUGGGUAGCUGGUGUGAGAGCACGACCAGCCACACGGGCACUGAGACACGGGCCCGACUCCUACGGGAGGCAGCAGUGAGGAAUAUUGGUCAAUGGACGCAAGUCUGAACCAGCCAUGCCGCGUG